GUGCUUUUGCCUUUUGUGAACAGCCCGUGGAGAUUAGAGCAGCCUGAACGGUUGCAAUCAGCCCUCCAGAGACCUUUGCUCCCUUGAGCUGAGCUGUAGCCAGCAUCUGGCCUCACCGUGAUCUUGGUCUACUGAAAUGACAUUGGAGUGAAGGACUUUUUCUUCCCUCUCCCUUUUUUAAUUCUUUAUCCCCCCCUUUUUCAGCGUCUAAUGCUGCUGUGGAUUAGAGAGCCUCUGCUGUAAAGGAGAGGGGGCUCAAAUGGCAUCAGUGUUAUCAGUUCAGCUGUGAGCAGUUCUGGAAGGGAUGCUUUGCAGUGAGCCGGCCUGGAGCUAAGCAACUCUGCCAUCAUCAGGUUCAGUUCAGGAGCGCAAAACAGAGAGGAGCUGCUGGAAGGCUGCAGUGUUCCUUGCUACAGGCGCUGUGCCGGAGAGGCAUCUUCAGCUCCCUUGAGGACCCAAAGGGCCCAGAGGAGAGCUUUGGUGCCAUACCAUUGCUUGGACUACCCAAGAACAAGGAGAAAGUGGAGUAAUUUACAUGAAUAGCACACAUGAAGAAAUUGCAUCUGUGCUGGCUGAGCUCUAUAUGAGGACCAGAGGGGGAAAAGCACCUUAUUAACAAGUGAUGAAACACUGAAGUGAUGAGGCUGACGUCAAAUCCUCCCCUUGCCCUUUCUCUCAAAAAUCUCUACAAAAACGACUGACGAGAUGUCACAGUGAUAUUCCAUUGCCAGUGGCCAUGCAGCUCCACAUUACCUCUUCUGUAAGGAGGUAAGAACUGGGUAAUUUGAAGAUUAUUGAUACACGGGUAACCAAUGUACAGGGGGUAAUACAGAGAAAUUGUA